AAAACCAUGACUGGGGAAGGGAAAUUAAGAAGCGGGUUUAGAAAGGGGUGCAUAAAAGAAUACUCAAAGAGCUUGAAUACGCGUGAAAUAUUCCUUAAAAAGGAAAAAGGCAUAGUUCGCAUAAAAAGGGUACUCAACGAACUUGUAUAAGCGUUAUAUUCCUUAAAAGGAAAAAGGCAUCGUUAGGGGCUUGGCUAAAACAUUAUCAGAGUUUGCAACGGAAGGUGUAACUGAAAUAAUCAGUGUUUACAGCGGAAUGCAUAACUGAGAUACAUGUAUGAAGACAUGUAUCCUUUCUGAGCCUACUUUAAGUUCAACAAAAACUCCACUCAGCAACAACACUUCAUCGCCCAUCACAGCUCAACCUGCACAAACAUAAACAUACGAAGGGCUGAGUACAAGAGUACUCAGUGGGCAGUGCCAAGCAUAUAACAUAACAUCAUUAACAAUUUCACAAUAUCGCAUAAGAGGCAUGAGUUUCUUUCAAAUCCUUUGCUCAUUAAACAUUUCCAUAUUCAUAAACAGGAUGAGCGCAUUCUUCAUCAUUAACAAUCAUCAACACGCAUCGUGUCGUGGAGAAGGCCUUCCCCAACGACACGGGCAUCGCACCGUGAAGGGGGCCUCCCUCAGCGGUCACGGCAUCGUACUAUUGAGGGAGGCCUCCCCCAAUAGACGCUGUAACACUGGAUACUACUGGCAUCGCGCCGCGAGAGAGGCCUCUCUCAGCGGACACGGGCAUCGCGCCGUGAGGAAGGCCCUCCUCAGCGGACACGGCAUCGUACUGUUGAGGGAGGCCUCCCCCAACAGACGCAAGCAUCAAACAUAAGCAUAAACUUAUCAGCGUAAAGCAUUCAAGCGUAAAUAAGCGUAAUCAUUUAACGUGCAUCAUAAUAAAGGUUAACUCAUUUAAGCGUAAUAAAGCAUACCAUACUUGAAGAUCCAAUUUGCAUUUUAAAGCAUAACACUUGCAUAGCAUUUUAUUUACGCGUAAGAAAUUGCCCACCUGAUAGCAAAGUUUUGCUAAGGUACUGUGACUUCUUGAAUAGUUCUUACUCUCGCGCUUGACCUUAAUCAUGAGAAUGUAAAAUAAGACAUUGCCUCGAGGAAAAUUCUCAAUUAAUGAGGAAGCGUAAUUAACUAUGCAUGAAUCUGGUAUGCAUGAACUAAUCUUUUGAGCGAUAAUUGGGAAUUAUACUAUUAUUAAUCCAGGCUAUCGGAUUUAAACAAAAGCUAAGUCUCGUCUCAUGAAGCCGGAUAAUUAACUAAAAUUAAUCCGUUCUCUUCGGGAUGUUCUAAACCGUCAAUUUAAUAAACCCCGCUCCUCGUAGUCAAUAGAAAAUAAAUAAAUAAAUACUUCAACUUAUUCGUCUUAUAACCUCAAAAACUCAAUCGGGCUUAAUAAAUGGAAGAAAGUAUUGUUGUAAGUUUAAUUAAUUAAAAGACUCGACAUAAGGUAGCCUAAUAAUUAAUUAAGUAAAAGUGGGCCUAAAUAAUUAUAUAAAAGGCCCAAUUGAAAUGAAGUAAUAGAGGCCCAUCUGAAUAAAAUAAAUAAGGCCCAACUGAAGUAAAAUAAUUGGUUAGUUGGGCUCAAAUAAAUAAAUCAAUCAAGGUCCAGCUCAGAUAAUACAACAGCCCAAUUAAAAUACAAUGUAGUUGGGCUUUAAUGAAAUAAACCAUAAUAGCUUGCUUUAAAGUCUGAAGUCCAAAACAAUAAUUAAUAAACUGGGCGGCUCAUUUACUGAAUACGAAUCGGCUCACCCACUGAUAAAUAAUUGGGCUCCAUCAAAAAUUGAUACUGCUAGGCUUAGCUCAAAUGAGUAACUUCAGCUCAAGCUUUAAAAGAAUUAAAGCCCAUCUUAAAAAGUCUUCGACCCAAAACAAUUAAAAUAGGGGUCCAAAUAAUAAUUGAGGUUUGGAAUAAUAGCCCAUCAUAAAAUAUGCAUCAGCCCAAUUCCUUAAAUAAAUCAAGCCCAAUAGAAUUAAUGAGAAGGCCAAUUAAAUUAAAGAUUGGCCCAGUUCGAAUUUAAUGAAAGCCCAAUCAAUUAAAUUGGAAGCUCAAUUCCUUUAAAAUAAAACAAACCCAAGCUCAAAUAAUUCGGCCCAAAUAAUAUAGAUAAAGGCCCAAUUCGAAUUUAGAUGUGAAGCCCAAGCCAUUAAAAUUCAAGCCCGAAAAUUAAAAGGGAAAAGCCCAAACAAUUAAAUAUGAAAGCCCAAGCAAAAGAAAUAAAAUUAAGCCCAUUCUAAAAAUCAGAGGCCCAACAUAAUAGAAUAAAAACCGGCCCAACAACUUAAGCCCAUUCACUCUUUCCUUCUACAUUUUCGGCCCAAUAGCCAAAGCCCAACAAUCCAGGCCCAAAACACUUAAAAUCUGUAGCCCACAACAGUUAAAACAAGGCCCAAUAUCUCGGCCCAAGAGAAAAUAAAAUAAAGCCCCAUUGAAUCUCUCUCUCUUUCAAAGAAACACACACACACAGACGCACGCUUCUAACCCUCUCUCUCUCUCGAUCCGUCUCCAGCCGAGGCGGGCGUCGCCGCCGCUGCCGGCGCGGCCGUGCCUGGCAGAGGGCGGCACACCUUGCCGUCUCACUCUCCUCUCUCUCUCAAGACAAUUCACGCUUUUCUCUCUCUUUUCUCUCUCUCAAGAACCGACGCUCCCUCUCUUCCUCAAGGCCGGCCGAUCGGCCUCUUCUCCUCUCACCGAGAUGCCGUUCGGCCACCGCCUGCUCCGACCGGCGUCGUCUUCUCUCUUCCUCAAAAUCCAAUCUCGCCUUUCUCUCUCUGGAAGAGCCGCUCGUCCCCUUCUCCUCAAACCAGUCGAGCCCUAACUCAAGAAGUCCUCGCCGCUGUCGCUGCUACUCCUUCGCCCGAAAUCCGGCGAUUCAGCUGGCGCUCUCCCAUCCUGUCAUCUCAAUUCAUCGAUUCCCCAACAUCGAGCCCUGAUUCUCAAGGAAUUAUCGCUGCUGCUACCCUUUCGAAAUUGGGCAGCCGGUCGCCGUCUGGGAGCGGCGUUGCUCCGGCCUGGAGCCCGUCGGCCUCCUCUCUUUCAUGGUUCCAGUCGGCCUCAGUGAUUCUCCAGCUCCGACGCCCUGAAUUUCUGGCGAGUCGCCGCUGCAGAGCAGCCGCUGCUCGGCUCGGUACCGGUCAAGGCAGUCAGCCUUCCCUUCUCGCCGCGACGUCAACAGAGGCCCCGUCGUCGCCACCAGUGGAGGCCGGCGAGUCCGCGAGUCAGUGUUGCCGUUUAUACUCCGUUGCAGUUGUCGAGUUCGAGCCACGCCGUUGCUGUUGUUCCCGUUUUACGACGAGGUAGCAGGAGCUUGUCGCCGUUAUCUCCGUCGUUGCAGCUGGACUGAACAAGGAAGUCGGCCUCUCUUUUCUUCCAUAAGCUAAGUCUUUGUUCUCCUUUUCUUCCAUAUGGUUAUCAAGGAUUGUGGCCUUUAUGUCCCUGACUAUGUAAGGGUUAAAUGUUUGUUCUUUAUGGCUUUCGGUUCUAAGUACAGUGGCAAUCUAUUUCAAUGUAUGAGUCAAACUAUUUCUGUGGAAUGCUAUAAUCAUGCACGCAUAUGUGGUUUGCUAUGUCCCUCUGUAAUAUACUUAAUCCUGUAUUUAUGAACUUCCAAUACAUGAAGCAUGCUUUGAUGGUGUGAAACAUAUGACAUCAAGAGAGCAAUUGAGAUAGGAAUUACCUUGAAUGUUCUUGUUCAUGUGGUGAGUUGAAACUGAAACAAUUGGUUGUUUAUAACAUACUGUAAAAAUGAAAUCGGCGAGAAGGUUACAAGAUGGAACCUUAAGUUGAGCUGUUGAAAACCUGAAUGUUUUGGCUUUAAGGAAAUUGACAUAUUAAUUGAAUUGAAGAAUGAAACCUUUUAUGAAAAGAUCCCGUUGUUGCUGUUAUUAAUUUGAUGGACGAUGGAAGUUCGGAUCAUCCAGCUGAUGAAAUUCUUGGUUGCGAGAGAAAACUUAUGAAUUGAUAGAUGUGUGGGAAUAAAGGGCAUGGUAUAAAGUGGUAGAUGGUGGAAGGAAAGGAGGGGAGCAAAGGAUGGUGGCAACACUUUUCCUUUUCCUUUUCCUAUUCUUCUUUCUCUUUUCUUCUUUAUGCAAAUGCCAAAUUAUUGUGGUGUAAUUGGAAGGUAUGAACGAAAAUUGAUUGUAAGAGUUUGUAAAGUAUGAGAAUGAUAUUGAUGAAUAAAUGAAGUAUAUCCUCAUGCCUUGGUGAUGCUAAUACUGUAAUAUGAAUCUAGAUUAAAUCCGUAGAUUUAAUCUGCGUUGCAGUCGGAAUAAUUUCUCGACUUCUAGUAGCACUAAUAAAAUAUAACUGCUUCUGUUUUUCGAUUAAUAAAUAACAUGACUUUGCUAAGUCAGUUAUAACUUGGAAAUAAUAAUUAUUGAAUGGCUCAAUAAUCCUCGUCGCGUUUUU
rnacentral:lncRNA from 1 species